CACGACCCGCUGCACCAGCACCGCCACCUCCUCCGGCGACUCGGCCAUGUUCCCGCAGGCCCCGGCGGCCGGCGAACGCUUCCGGGGCAGCGCGAACUGCGGGGAGCGCCGGGCGGGACGCGGGCAGGGGCGGGGGCCGGCACUGUGCGCGUCAUUUUGUCGGCUUGGGCUUCUCUUGUUUUAACAGUCGCGCUAGGCGCUAAACCACGUAUCUUUAAACGAUGAGCAGGCUUGCAAUGUCAUCAUCAUCAUCAUCAUCAUCAUCAUCAUCUGCUUCCUUGUUACCUCCAACCCCCCUCCCCCGAGAAGGCCUGGUGUAUGUUCUCCUUCAGGAAAAAAAAAAGAGACUGGAGAAAAGUGCUCAGUCAUAUGUCAUCAUAUGUAUGAAAAACCAGAAAGGUGGAUGUCCCUUAGAGAAACACUGAAUGUGUUCUUACCUGCUGAAGUUUGCAGUUUUUUGCUGGAUUUGCUCAUAUUCCUCUGGUUGAAAGUUAUGUAGAGCACAUACCCUGGAACUAGGAGCCAGGAUUUCCUGCUUUCCCAAUUCCCAUGAUUUUCUUUUUUUUUCAUCAUUCUGGACUGGGGACUUUGUUACAACACUAAUUUCUGUAGAUAAUCUGAGGAUCUCUUGGUGCUCCUACAUGUCAAACCAUGUAAUUGUAGAAUUCUGAACUAUGCUGGCUAAGCAGAGCUCUUUACUCAUAGAAUAUAGUAUGGAGAGAAAGAAAAUGCAGUUAUGGCAAAGAAGAGUAUUCACAUAGGAAUCUUUCUCCAAGAAACUGUAGUUGACUGGGCUGCAGAUUCAAAGACAAUAGCAUCCUGAGACUCUCUCUGUUUUUUUUUUCUUCUGAGUUACCUUUUGGAUCUCCUAAGAUGAGUAAAUUAAGGGUCAAACGCUGGUACAGUUCUAUUAGACACCUUUUUAGUAAUGAAACUGUAGCUGCUGGGAAAUGCUUGGACGUGAAGACAGGGACGAUUACAGGAUCGCCACUGGUACGGAUUUCAGAGCCUGCCCCAGGACAGUAGGGGGCGAAAUAGCACUUUAUCCCUCGUGCUUUUAGGGACGUGACCCACCUUGGAUUGCAACUCCGCCUGCAGAUGGGUAGAUGGAUUCCCUCUCUGUGGCUGUGCCAAGAAAAUGCCAUGGCUGACUCCUCUUGAUGAGAAUGCUGUCUAGAAUACUGCCUGUGAAUUUACAAUACGGAUUGAUGUUUGAAUUCUACUCCUAAAAAAACCACGAAGACAUAAAAGCAUACUGCUCAGGGCCUUUCCUAAUAUUAAAAUCACUUAUUGCAUAUUUUUUUGCACCAAGUAGCUUUGACUGUAGGCUUGUUUACUAAUGGAUUGCUAUAGUUUCAUACUACUUUUUUUUUUUUUUGGUGAAUUUUCCACGCCAACAGUCUUUGCUAGGAUAAGAUAAGCGUCAGGUUUGAUUGUUUGUCUAGCUCGGGCCUUGAUGACUGUCCUAUUAAAACGCACCCCCGCUGGAAUGAUUAAGGGAAACCCCAUCUCCCUGUAGCCACGAUGGAGAGGUCGGCCCAGGUGGGGGGUGGAGUGGGGAGCAUUAGGCAGUGAACCUUUUAGACUGGAGCGGUGGGGGGGAGGCGUGGAAUUUAUUCCACUUCUGCCCUACUUUGGUGGGGUGAAGGGAGACCACAGUUUUCCACCGUUUCCAUCCUCUGCUGGUUCCAUUGCCUUUGGCACUCGGUGGUUGCUUUGUUGAGACUCACAGAAGCUUGGGAGGGGUCCCGGCUCACCCCCCAACCACACGUGCCCUGUGAUGGUUUUUCUCUGUGGACUGCCACUGAUGUGAACUGUAUGUUUGUUUGGGAAUAAUUAGGUAGCGGUGAUGGAUCCCAUACUGAGUGCGCUUGAGUCCACCCCUGUUCCCUGGUGUCUUUACUUGAGGUAACAAUUGAAUUUGGUGCAUAUUAUUGAGCUGAGUCGCUAGGAAGGAAAAGGACCCUGUGUAAAAAAGCCACACGUGGUUGUGGAGGGUUGGCCCAGAAACAGUGAGCUCACAGCAGCCACACUAAUGUAAGAAGGUGAGAAAGGUGCAAGGAAUGACAAAGGGAUGGGCUGUGGUAUGCAUUUUAGGGGCUGUUGUGGUGCUGCUGCACAUUCUAGAACCAUCCAGUGGGAAAAAAAUCCCUGAAAGUGCUUGUUCACCCUCAUAGUGAAAAAGUGUCUCCUGAUGUUUCUAGGGAAUUGCCUGUGUUUCAGUUUGUGUCCAUCGCCUCUGGCCUUGUCACUGGACACAUCUGUAAAGAGUCUGGCUCCAUCUGCUGUGUGCCUUCCCUUCGGGUAUUUGUACACAUUAAUAAGAUCUGAGCCUUCGC